rnacentral:rRNA from 1 species
UACAGAGGUCUCAAGCGUUUGUUCGGAUUCAUUGGGCGUAAAGGGUGCGUAGGUGGCGCGCUAAGUCAGGUGUGAAAUUUCGGAGCUUAACUCCGAAACUGCAUUUGAUACUGGCGUGCUUGAGGACUGGAGAGGAGACUGGAAUUUACGGUGUAGCAGUGAAAUGCGUAGAUAUCGUAAGGAAGACCAGUGGCGAAGGCGGGUCUCUGGACAGUUC